rnacentral:rRNA from 1 species
UAGAUACCCUGGUAGUCCUAGCCCUAAACGAUGGGUACUAGAUAGUAGACUCGAUAUAGGUUUACUGUCGAAGCUAAAGUGCUAAGUACCCCGCCUGGGGAGUAUGGUCGCAAGGCUGAAACUCAAAGGAAUUGACGGGGGCUCACACAAGCGGCGGAGCAUGCGGAUUAAUUCGAUGCAACGCGAAGAACCUUACCAAGGCUUGACAUGUCCGGGACCGGUCGCAGAGACGUGACCUUCUCUUCGGAGC